rnacentral:misc_RNA from 1 species
CAACUCAUGGAAAAGAUCAGGUGACAUGGUUGCAGUGUACAGAAAGCCUGAAAUGGUCAUUCUCCUCCUUCCUCCUCAUCAUAGUUGCAAUACAAAAAGUCGAAAACUCAUGUGUUCAUUUACAUUAUCGUUAUGUUAUCUACAAUUUCGUCUUUGCUCUGUCAUGGAUACAAAAUAUUCUUGAAAUUGCUGUUUAUAACGAG